rnacentral:rRNA from 1 species
ACGCUGGCGGCAGGCCUAACACAUGCAAGUCGAGCGGUAGAGAGAAGCUUGCUUCUCUUGAGAGCGGCGGACGGGUGAGUAAUGCCUAGGAAUCUGCCUGGUAGUGGGGGAUAACGUUCGGAAACGGACGCUAAUACCGCAUACGUCCUACGGGAGAAAGCAGGGGACCUUCGGGCCUUGCGCUAUCAGAUGAGCCUAGGUCGGAUUAGCUAGUUGGUGGGGUAAUGGCUCACCAAGGCGACGAUCCGUAACUGGUCUGAGAGGAUGAUCAGUCACACUGGAACUGAGACACGGUCAGACUCCUACGGGAGGCAGCAGUGGGGAAUAUUGGACAAUGGGCGAAAGCCUGAUCCAGCCAUGCCGCGUGUGUGAAGAAGGUCUUCGGAUUGUAAAGCACUUUAAGUUGGGAGGAAGGGCAGUAAAUUAAUACUUUGCUGUUUUGACGUUACCGACAGAAUAAGCACCGGCUAACUCUGUGCCAGCAGCCGCGGUAAUACAGAGGGUGCAAGCGUUAAUCGGAAUUACUGGGGCGUAAAGCGCGCGUAAGGUGGUUCGUUAAGUUGGGUGUGAAAUCCCCGGGCUCAACCUGGGAACUGCAUUCAAACUGACGAGCUAGAGUAUGGUAGAGGGUGGUGGAAUUUCCUGUGUAGC